rnacentral:rRNA from 1 species
AAAGAUUAAGCCAUGCAUGUCUAAGUAUAAGCAAUUAUACUGCGAAACUGCGAAUGGCUCAUUAUAUAAGUUAUCGUUUAUUUGAUAGUACCUUACUACUUGGAUAACCGUGGUAAUUCUAGAGCUAAUACAUGCUAAAAAUCCCGACUUCGGAAGGGAUGUAUUUAUUAGAUUAAAAACCAAUGCCCUCCGGGGCUCCUUGGUGAUUCAUGAUAACUCCUCGAAUCGCACGGCCUUGCGCCGGCGAUGGUUCAUUCAAAUUUCUUCCCUAUCAACUUUCGAUGUUUGGGUAUUGGCCAAACAUGGUUGCAACGGGUAACGGAGGGUUAGGGCUCGACCCCGGAGAAGGAGCCUGAGAAACGGCUACUACAUCCAAGGAAGGCAGCAGGCGCGCAAAUUACCCAAUCCCGACACGGGGAGGUAGUGACAAUAAAUACUGAUACAGGGCUCUUUUGGGUCUUGUAAUUGGAAUGAGUACAAUUUAAAUCCCUUAACGAGGAACAAUUGGAGGGCAAGUCUGGUGCCAGCAGCCGCGGUAAUUCCAGCUCCAAUAGCGUAUAUUAAAGUUGUUGUGGUUAAAAAGCUCGUAGUUGAACCUUGGGCCUGGCUGGCCGGUCCGCCUCACCGCGUGUACUGGUCCGGCCGGGCCUUUCCCUCUGUGGAACCCCAUGCCCUUCACUGGGUGUGGCGGGGAAACAGGACUUUUACUUUGAAAAAAUUAGAGUGCUCCAGGCAGGCCUAUGCUCGAAUACAUUAGCAUGGAAUAAUACAAUAGGACGUGUGGUUCUAUUUUGUUGGUUUCUAGGACCGCCGUAAUGAUUAAUAGGGACAGUCGGGGGCAUCAGUAUUCAAUUGUCAGAGGUGAAAUUCUUGGAUUUAUUGAAGACUAACUACUGCGAAAGCAUUUGCCAAGGAUGUUUUCAUUAAUCAGGAACGAAAGUUAGGGGAUCGAAGACGAUCAGAUACCGUCGUAGUCUUAACCAUAAACUAUGCCGACUAGGGAUCGGACGAUGUUAUUUUUUGACUCGUUCGGCACCUUACGAGAAAUCAAAGUGCUUGGGCUCCAGGGGGAGUAUGGUCGCAAGGCUGAAA